AACGACUCCUGUUGGUUGUCAGCUGCACGAGACGCGCGGCAUAACGUGAGAUAUGAAAACUGUCAGUUAACGUCAGUUGCUCGCCUCGGUUGUGUCGAACGCGUCCGUCCGUCCGUAGUACCGAGAGGAACCGGAGCCGGGCGGUGUGAGAGCCCCGGUCCCCGCUCUGAGGGAGCUCCCUGGCGGCUGCGCUCUUUGCAACAAGUCGGUAAAGUGAAUGACUGUGCGUGUUUCUAGUUUCUUCACUCCAGCUUUUGACUCCCAUGACUCCAGGAACUGUCUGAUUCUGGAUCUGUCAGGCAGGACUAGGACAGGCCCAGGCAGAAAGAGAUGAGCUGGGCUGAGGAGGACUGGACAGUGGGGCUGUCUGGACGGGUCCUGCAGAAGGUGAAGGAGCUGCAGGUCCAUCAGGAGCGACUGUCCAGAGAGAACAAGCAGAAGCAGCUGCAGCUGGACAACAUCCAAACUAGCCUUGAGAAACAGACUGUGAAGGUAC